GGUAGGAUGGCCGAAACAGGCGGCGGAUUGUAGCUCCGUAGAUAGAGGUUCAAAUCCUCUUCCUGUCA
rnacentral:tRNA from 1 species